AUUGAACGCUAGCGGGAUGCCUUACACAUGCAAGUCGAACGGAGUGGCGAACGGGUGAGUAAUGUAUCGGAACGUGCCCAGUAGCGGGGGAUAACUACGCGAAAGCGUAGCUAAUCCCGCAUCCUAUUGGAGCGGCCGCUAGCGGAUUAGCUAGUGGGGGGGGUAACGUCUAAGCAAGGAGACGAUCCGUAGCUGGUUUGAGAGGACAACCAGCCACACUGGGACUUGGAAACGGCCCAGCAUCCUACGGGAGGCAGCAGUGGGGAAUGUUGGACAAGGGGGGAAAACCUGAUCCAGCCAUCCCGCGUGGGCGAUGAAGGCCUUCGGGUUGUAAAGCACUUUUGGCAGGAAAGCGGUACCUGCAGAAUAAGCACCGGCUAACUACGUGCCAGCAGCCGCGGUAAUAC
rnacentral:rRNA from 1 species